GAUGAACGCUGGCGGCGUGCCUAAUACAUGCAAGUCGAGCGAACAGACGAGGAGCUUGCUCCUCUGACGUUAGCGGCGGACGGGUGAGUAACACGUGGAUAACCUACCUAUAAGACUGGGAUAACUUCGGGAAACCGGAGCUAAUACCGGAUAAUAUAUUGAACCGCAUGGUUCAAUAGUGAAAGACGGUUUUGCUGUCACUUAUAGAUGGAUCCGCGCCGCAUUAGCUAGUUGGUAAGGUAACGGCUUACCAAGGCAACGAUGCGUAGCCGACCUGAGAGGGUGAUCGGCCACACUGGAACUGAGACACGGCCCAGACUCCUACGGGAGGCAGCAGUAGGGAAUCUUCGGCAAAGGGCGAAAGCUUGAUGGAGCAACGCCGCGUGAGGGAUGAAGGUCUUCGGAUCGUAAAACGCUGUUGUUCGGGAAGAACAAAUGUGUGUGUAAACCUGCGGGUAUUGACGGUACCGAAUGAGAAAGCCACGGCUAACUACGUG
rnacentral:rRNA from 1 species